CCUCUGGUUUACCGGUUGUGCCGCCAGGUGCAUCGCCGGGUAUCUAAGUCUGGAUCGGAUAAGUGCUGAAAGCAUCUAAGUACGAAGCCGGCCACAAGAUAAGAUUUCUUAGGGUCGUCAAAGACUAUGACGUUGAUAGGAUGCAGGUGUAAAGCUGGAGACAGCAAAGCCGAGCAUUACUAAUUGCCCGUUGACUUUUGU
rnacentral:rRNA from 1 species